CCCUUAGAUGUUCUGGGCCGCACGCGCGCUACACUGACGAUGGCAACGAGUUUUUCCUUCGCCGAAAGGUGUGGGUAAUCUUUUGAAACAUCGUCGUGCUGGGGAUAGAUCAUUGUAAUUUUUGAUCUUGAACGAGGAAUUCCUAGUAAGCGCGAGUCAUCAGCUCGCGUUGAUUACGUCCCUGCCCUUUGUACACACCGCCCGUCGCUACUACCGAUUGAAUGGUUUAGUGAGGACUCCUGAUUGGCGCCGCCGCCCCGGCAACGGAGCAGCGGACUGCCGAAAAGUUGUUCAAACUUGAUCAUUUAGAGGAAGUAAAAGUCGUAACA
rnacentral:rRNA from 1 species